ACAAGCGGUGGAGCAUGUGGUUUAAUUCGAUGAUACGCGAGGAACCUUACCUGGGCUCGAACGUAAGAUGACUGUAGGUGAAAGCUUACAUCUCUUCGGAGCAUUUUACGAGGUGCUGCAUGGUUGUCGUCAGCUCGUGCCGUGAGGUGUCGGGUUAAGUCCCAUAACGAGCGCAACCCUACCUUUAGUUGCCAUCAGGUAAUGCUGGGGACUCUAAAGGAACUGCCUACGCAAGUAGUGAGGAAGGCGGGGAUGACGUCAAAUCAGCACGGCCCUUACGUCCAGGGCUACACACGUGCUACAAUGGCCGAUACAGAGGGCAGCUACCUGGUGACAGGAUGCAAAUCUCCAAAGUCGGUCUCAGUUCGGAUCGGAGUCUGCAACCCGACUCCGUGAAGUUGGAUUCGCUAGUAAUCGCGCAUCUGCCAUGGCGCGGUGAAUACGUUCCCGGGCCUU
rnacentral:rRNA from 1 species